GAUGAACGCUGGCGGCGUGCCUAAUACAUGCAAGUCGAGCGAACAGAUGAGGAGCUUGCUCCUCUGACGUUAGCGGCGGACGGGUGAGUAACACGUGGAUAAUCUACCUAUAAGACUGGGAUAACUUCGGGAAACCGGAGCUAAUACCGGAUAAUAUAUUGAACCGCAUGGUUCAAUAGUGAAAGACGGUUUUGCUGUCACUUAUAGAUGGAUCCGCGCCGCAUUAGCUAGUUGGUAAGGUAACGGCUUACCAAGGCAACGAUGCGUAGCCGACCUGAGAGGGUGAUCGGCCAAACUGGAACUGAGACACGGUCCAGACUCCUACGGGAGGCAGCAGUAGGGAAUCUUCCGCAAUGGGCGAAAGCCUGACGGAGCAACGCCGCGUGAGUGAUGAAGGUCUUCGGAUCGUAAAACUCUGUUAUUAGGGAAGAACAAAUGUGUAAGUAACUAUGCACGUCUUGACGGUACCUAAUCAGAAAGCCACGGCUAACUACGUG
rnacentral:rRNA from 1 species